rnacentral:lncRNA from 1 species
UAUUGCUUUUUUUUUUUUGGGGUAUAAUAAUGGAUUUGUUUUAUUACUGAUCAGCAAAGUUAGCUUUAAAUAAGUUUUGAGAUAAAUUAAAAUUUAGAUAAAAAUUAUUAUUAUUUUUUAUUUAUUUGUAUAAUUAUGGAACUGAAGUUAUUUCAGUUCCACUGUUUGUUUGAUAGAAAAUAAAUGUCGUAGAAAUUAGAUCAUGCGGGAGAUGAUAUAUAUAUAUAUAUAUAUAGAGAGAGAGAGAGAGAGAGAGAGAGUGGGCUGGUAUGCUUAUGGAAGUAUUGAGCCCUCCGUGUUUUCAAGUUGUUUUCGAUGUUCGGACUUUCAAAUCGACGAUCGGCUUCGUUAGAGUUGAUCUAGAGUAUUUGAAGUAUCUAGAAAAUAAANAUCCAUAAAAGGUUUAAAGCUCUUCGAGCAAUUAAGCGAUCCGCGCUUGGUGGAAACCCUUUUUACUCUUUCCCUCUCUCUCGCUCGUAUUCAUCAUCGUCAUCAUCUUCUUUUUCUUUGAGGAAUUAUAACAAACAGGUGGUGGGAUUCAAAUAGAAGGAGUAAAAUUGGGAAGAAAAUGGAAGGGGAGAGGAAGAACGUUGGUAUCCUCGCCAUGGACAUUUAUUUCCCUCCUACUUGCGUUCGACAGGUACACAUUAAUGCCACCCCCCAAUCUCUCCUCUCUCUUUGUUCGUGUUGUUUGUUUUCUAUUAGAUCGAUCUUUUCAAUAACACGGUACCAAGCUAAUCUUUGAUUCCUGUAUCCAUAGUUCUGUGGGAUAUCAUUUACCUUUCGCACUGACACAAUCAAUUCACUUAAAAUGUAUAAAUAUAACGUCUACAAGUCUCGAUUGUGAUUCGGUUCAACUCGAUUUUCUGUCAUUUUUAAACGUGACUCGAUCCAAUCUGAUCUUUUUGCCACCGAUAUGAUAUGUCUCUUUGUAGGUCAUUUGCUUCGGUGUUGGUUUCAUGGAGUGUCGGGGUAGUUUUUGGGGGUAGAGUUAGGGGUAGGUGUAAUGGGGGAGCUGCGGCUUCUUCUACAGCAAGAUUGUGGAGGCUUUUGGUUUUCAUUUGUUUGGUGGUGGGGAGGUGUUUGGUGUUUGGUGUAACCGGGCGCGUGCACCGGGUCUUGCACUGACAUGUGGGACCCACAAAUUUUGUUUUGACCGUUGCAAAAUCGAGAUCGCGGAUGAGCUCUUGUAAACUCAGUUUAAAAAUUCUUUAGCAUUAUCCGACGGAGUACGUCCGCGAGGAUUGUUGCUUUUUUGGGGGUUAAGGUUACGAAAAUACGCCAACCUUUUUUUUAUUGCUUUUUUUUUUUGGGUAUAAUAAUGGAUUUGUUUUAUUACUGAUCAGCAAAGUUAGCUUUAAAUAAGUUUUGAGAUAAAUUAAAAUUUAGAUAAAAAUUAUUAUUAUUUUUUAUUUAUUUGUAUAAUUAUGGAACUGAAGUUAUUUCAGUUUCACUGUUUGUUUGAUAAAAAAUAAAUGUCGUAGAAAUUAGACCAUGCGAGAGAUGAGUUUUAUAUAUAUAUAUAUAUAUAGUGGGCUGGUAUGCUUAUGGAAGCACGGAGCCCUCCGUGCUAGUUGUUUUCAAAGUUCAGACUUUCGAAUCGACGAUCGGCUUUGUUAGAGUUGAUCUAGAGUAUUUGGAGUACCUAAUAAAUUUUGUAAUUUUUCGAUAUCAUUUGCCUAGUGAUCGGAGGGGCUUAAAAUCAUUAAUUUUAAUGGCCGUGGUGAGCCGGUUGCAAGUUUAACGGUGUAGAAAUAUCCAAAUCACAUGAAUUUUGAUAAAAAAUUCUUUAUACCAUAUAAAACAAGAUCAAUAACUUUGAUCUAAAAUUUUAAUGUCAUAUCAUCAUAUUUUGUAAGAUUUUUAGUUUCAGCCGUUGAUUUUGAGCCAUUUAGAUCACUAGGCAAAUGAUAUCGAAAAAUCGCAAAAUUUAUUUUCUAGAUACUUCAAAUACUCUAGAUCAAGUCUAAAAGUGCCGAUCGUCGAUUCGUAAGUCCGAACAUCGAAAACAAAGUGGAAGCACGGAGCCCUCCGUGCUUCCAUAAGCAUCCUAGCCGCACUAUAUAUAUAUAUAUAUAUAUAUAUAUAUAAUUGGACUGAAAUGCUAUCGGUGGUAAACAAAUUUUGUUACCACUUAUUUGUUUUCGAUGAUGGAGCCUUCAAAUCGAUGAUCGGCAUCGUUAAAUAUGAUUUAUACCACUUGAAGUAUCUAAAAAUAAAAUUAUAAAUCUUUUCAAUAUUAUUGACUUAAUGCUCAAAGGGUUUUAAAAUUUAUAAUUUUAAUGGUCAAUAUGAAAUGUUUUUUUGUUUAACGGCGUGAAAAUAUUCAAAUCAAUUGAAUUUUGAUUAAAAUAUUUUUUAAAUUAUUUAAAACAAAAUUUAUACUCUCGAUCUUGAUUAUAAGAUACCUAUUAUCAUUUUUUAAAUGAUAUUUAUUUUUAGACUUUUUAAAAGAUAUUCAUUUUUGUGUCCAUUUGAUGGAAAAUAGAAUAAUAUUGAAAAAAAUAAAAAAAAUAAAAUUUGGUUUCUAGAUGCUUCAAGUAGUAAAAUAUUCAACGAUACCGAUCGUCAAUUUGGAAACUUCAUCAUCGAAAACAAAUGGAUGAAUUUCAUAAUUAUUUUUAAAAAUUACAAUAUUUAAUUUGUAAGUAUGUCUAAUGAUGUAAAUCAAUUUCAACGAUGUCAAUUAUCGAUUUAGAAUUUUAAUCAUCUAAAAUGACUUAAUAUAUCAAAGACUUCUAUCAUCUUGAAAUGACAGUGUUGGCCUCUAAAAUUUCACUAGGGUUACUAUACUUCUAUGGGCUUGGACUAUUAUACUCUUAUGAGUAUAAACUCCCGUAUACUCAUAAAUUUUUAACCUCUAAAAUUACACUAGAGUUACUAUACUUCUAUGGGCUUGGACUAUUAUACUCUUAUGAGUAUAAACCCCCUUAUACUCAUAAAUUUUUAACCGUUGAGUGAUGGGAUAUGUGAUUAGGAUGAUGGUGGUCCCCACUUAAAAUAAUAGUGGUCCCCUAAGGUUAAGUGGGUAGUUGGUUGAAUAGUAUGAUCUAACGGAUGGAAAUGAUCAAUAGAAUAAAUCUAAGGACCGAAAACUUAUGAGUAUAAGGAAGCCAAUACUCAUAAAAGUAUAGUAGCCGGACUCUACUUUUAUGAGUAUAGAUCUAUUUAUACUCAUAAAUUAUUUUUUAUGAUGGAGCUUUUAAAUUAAUGAUCCAUAUCGUUAAAUAUAAUUAAGAAUAUUUGAAACUUCUAGCAAAAGGAUGCAGUAUAAAUUUACCUUAUACACGCUAUUGAGAGCUUAAAUUUACCUUAUACAAGUACUUUAAGAACUAUAUACGUAAAUUUGUUAACAAAUCACAAAAUUCUACGGCAAAUAUUUGGGACCUCAAAUAUUUAGCAAUGGGAUGCAGUGGUACAAUUAGGGGAUAUUUUUUGCACCAAAAGCCGAGGGAGGUGAUUUUCGGCCAUAAAUACUAUUUUUAUUAUUUUAUUUAUCAUAAAUUAGCUUUGAUUGUAAUUUUAUUUUUUUAAAAUGUUAUAAUUGACUUUACUGUAGAUAGGGCUGGCAAUCUAGCUCACAGUAUCGGUUCUCGUUGGGCUUGAAAUGAACUCGAGAUCGAUUGCUCGUUUAAUAAACGAGCUGAAUACAAACUAAAUUUUUCAGUUCGAAACCUUAAUGAGUCGAACACAAGUUAAGGUCAGUUCGCUAGUAUUUAGCUCGAUAUACUUUAUUUAUAUUAUAAAUUUCUACUAUUUGAAUUUUUAGGCCAAUCCAAAUAUAAAAAGAUUUAUAUUUUCUAAAUUUUGAUUAUUAGAUUAAGAUUUUAAUUUUUUAUAAAUUUGCAUCCAGUAAUAAAGCUGCCAAUCUAACUUACUAUUCACGAACUAACUCAUAUUCAGCUCAUUAAUAAACAAAUCGAAUACGAGCUAAAUCUUUUAGCUCGAUAUUUUAACAAGUCAACUUGUAUUCUUUUUGUUUAAUAAACGAACGAAUAUGAGCCGGCCUCACUUCGCUCUUGUUCAGUUUGUUGAUAGUCCUAAUUUUCACAUCUCACAUACACUCUCUCGCGUUCUUGCAUUGUAGAUAGUGCCUAAAAUUUUUGAUGAAAUGAAUUUAAAAAAACGAUGACUAGAGUAUUAAAAUUACCAAUUUUUUAUUCAUCAAAUGGUAAUAAAAAAUAAUUUUAUUCGAAUUUUAGUUCAGCUGAAACUUUGAGAGUCUUAAUUUUCUAUGUGGUUGGGUCACACGCGCAGCGAUUUUGCACCGUUGGAUGGAGGAAUGAGGGUAAGGGUGGAAAAUUGUACGGAAGGGUCUCCGUUUGUGUGGGUAAUAAAAUUGCUGUACUGGUGACGUGGCAACGUGAGAGACCGAUCACGCGGGACAUUCACAGCGCCAAUGCACUCAUUGCAUGGCCCAAGAAUUGCUCAUGCAGUGACAAACGCGUAAUCUUAUUUGUAUAUCCAAAAGUGGCUGUUCGUGAUGAUUACAAACGCACUGCACUCAUUGUACUGCACAAUAAUUGUUUUUCGAAUGUACACAUGUGUAUAAUGUUAUUUGUAUAUUCAAAAGCCGAUGUAAGUAGAGUAAUGCUUACAUCUACUGUGCCCAUACAAAGCUUUCUAUGAUUAGAAGUUGUUAAGACUAGUAAGUAAAUAUUAGCAUUUGGAUGGCUAGAAUGCAAAAUUUACAUCUUAUAUUUAGCUAUACUCUUAAAUAGUUUCACAUUCAAUAAUAUGAAAGAGCGCGGGAGGCCUAUACGUGACGGACGCAUAAUAUAUAAUAAAUAACUAGAUUUAAAUAUUUUAGGUCGGUGGUUCGGUUAUAGCAGUCUUUAGUGUUAGUGGGUUGGGUUAUUAUAGUUGGCAUCAAAGCUGGUUCACUAGCGGAAGUCUUUAGUGUUAAUGGGUUAGGUUAUUAUAGUUGGCAUCAAAGCUGGUUUACUAGCGGAAAAUGUGAGUAGGGGUGUAAAUGAGCCGAAUACGAGCGAGCUGGGGUCAGCUCGUGUUCGGCUAACGAGCUGAACGACGAGCUGACCCCAGCCGUGUUCGGCUUGUUUAUUAAACAAGAGCGAACACGAGCUGGCUCUAAAGUAUCGAGCCGCAAAAAUUCGCUCGUGUUCAGACUCGUUAUUAACGAGCCGAACACGAGCUGGCCUACGAGCUGGCAACGAAAAUAAAUUAAAAAGAUUAGAUUAAAUAUAUAUAAAAUAUAUAAAAUUUAUCCAUUAGAGUUUGAUCUAAUAGUGAAACUUUACAUAUAAAUGAGUCUUUUUAUAUUAAGCUCGUAUUAUAUUUUAUUUUACUAAAAAUUAAAUAAUAAAAUAUAUAAUAUAUAUAAUUAAUUUAUAUAUAUAAAAAUAUAAAUACAAAUAAAUUAAUAAAUAUUAAAAUAUAUUAUUCGAGUUCAUCGAGCCGAACACGAGCGAGCUGACCCCACUCGUGUUCGCUCGUUUAUUAAACGAGCUAAAAAUUCAGACUGUGUCGGCUCGUUUAAAAAAAACGAGCGAGCCGAUCUCAGUUCAUUUGAGCCGAAUACGAGCUGGCUCCGAACACGAGUUGGAUUGCACCCUAAAUGUGAGGUGGGCGUCACAUUAUUUGAUGAUUUUUAGCUUGUGUGUAUAGUGUUGACGAGAAAACGUCAGUUUAAAAUUGAUGUGCUUAAACUGGGUUUAAAUAUUUUGAGCUGACAUAUUAGGACCCACAAAUUAUUAGUGCCAGUAGGCUGAAUUAUUACAUAUCCAAAUAGUAUCACUCACAUAGAAAAACGCUCACGAGUGCAGUGCAUUUGUACAUCCUAAGAAAUGGUGAAAUCUUACACCCUCUUAUUUAAUGGUAAUAAAUUAUAUGUUUGUCAAAUUUUUUAAAAUAUUAACAAUUUAUUAGGUUUUGUGAAUUAUAAAAUAAAGUGUAAAAUCUAAACUCUUUUUUGACAGAUGUACAAAUAAUAACUUUCCUUUCCUUGCUCACCUAUUGCUCAUGAAGUUUCUUCCGAAUCAAAAUGAGAACUACCAACAUACAUAUUGCCGUAUAAGAGGUAAAGAUCACUUUUGGUGCUUUGCCUUUUUUUUUUUUCUUUUUUUUUUUUUUUUUUUCUUUUGAAAUCAAUAACAAAGCGAUACUCUUCUAGUUGAUAAUUUUGAUUUCACUAACAAAUAUUUAAAAUAUUCAAUUUAUUAUCAUAUUUUUUAUUUUAUUUGGCUUUAAAAUAUAAGCUAAUUAUUUUUUUUAAUGAAUUUAUAGUUACGAGGAAUUAUAUAAAAUACUAGCGUAAAUGCUGUAAAUAAAUAAUAUAGUUCAAAUUUUAAAAUUAAAGUGUCAUUGACUUACUCAAAUUAAAUAAAUUAAAAUAUUAGAUCAUAGUUCAAAAAAGCUAUGUUCUUUUUUACUAAAUGGAAAGAAAGAAAAAAAAAUUGUAAAACUUUAAAAUUUUGAUUGAAAAGUUUUAAAUUAAAAUAGAUCUUUAAAAUUUGGUUCAGAAUAAAUCAUACAAUUCACCAAAAUGUUUUAAUAAGAUCUCGUUCGGCUCAGGGAAGUUGCCCUUGCAGAUGGUACUAAUAAUUACACACAAAAAAGUGCUCAAACUAAAAACAUUAUCACAAAGAUGAAAGACCGUGUGAAAAGGUGGUCAACAGUCUCGCAAAAGUCAGUACCCUAGUUAGUUAAUUCGCAAAUUAUUCACGAAUUAUUCAUGAGUUAUUGAAAAUCCGAAUUAAAUGGUCCGUUUACAAAUUUUUUCCAAAGAAAGAAAGUUAUUCGUGAAUUUUUGGGCCAGCCGAAUUAUUCACGAAUUAUUCGCGAGUUAUUAAAAAUAUAAAUAAAAAAUUUAUAAUUUAUAUUUUUAAAUAUAAAUUAUCUUAUAUUUUAUAUCAAAUUCGAUUUUUAAGCCGAAUUUUUCAACGAAUUUAAAAAUUAGAAAACGAAUUUUAUGCGUAUUAUAUCCGUAUCAAAUUUUUGCCGAAUCUGAAUUUACUAAUUAUGGUCAGUACAGAGCACACAGGUCUUAUCCCCCAUCCACCCCCUUCAGAGAUUGUGUGAAAUUUUUUUUUUUUUUUCGCUUUCUUUCAUAUGCCUAUUUGCCUUAUAUAUGUAGCUAAGUUUAUUAUUAUCAAUGAAAGAAGCGGAUAGCGUGCUAUCUUAUUCUCGAAAAAAAAAAAAAGACCAUGUGAAAUUAACUUCCGUUCUCAAAACUAUAACCGUUACACCUAGGUCUUUAAAUUUUAAUUUGUUACAAUUUUUUACUUGAAUUUUUUAAACUUUAAUAAAAUCUGACAAUCUAAUUUAGUUAAUUAAAUUUUGAUGUGUUAUUAAUAUAAGUGCGUUUGGUUCGAGUUAUCCUGGCAGGAUUACAGGCAAUCCUGCUAGGAUAACUGUGUUUGGUUAAUCCGCUAUGUAAUCUAGUCGUUAAUGUAGCAUUACAAAUCGAGCAGGAUUACAUCGAAAAUAUUAACGGGAGUGGGGUCGUGUAUCUUGCAUUACUGAAAUCCAUUAAUACUACAUAUUAUGUAAAAUGACAAUUUUACCCUCCAACAACCCCAAAUCUAAUUAACAGCAUUAUUUUCAUCUCUCUCGCCUUCCCCCCGGCCCUCUCUCUUGCACGCCGCUUUCUCUCGCUCUCUCUCUCUCUCGACGUCUCUCUCUCUCUCUCUCUCUCUCUCUCGCACGAACACCUAUCAUCUUCUAUUGCAUCGUCCUCCCAAGUAAUCAUCACGAUCUCCUACCCUCCAUUUGUCAUUUCCGUAAAAAAUAAUAUUCAAAUGACCACAAUAAGGGCAAUUUUGAAAAAAAUUAUACUUUUAUGUCAGAAUUACUAAAUUUUAUAAACUGAACCAAACAUAUUAAUGCUAUAAACACUGUAAUAUAGUAUUACAUUACUGUAUUAAACCAAACGCUCUAAUACAGCAUAGGUAGUACUCUUACGCCGAAAUUCAAGGUACCUGGAUAUGUCGAGAUACUUUGUAAUAUUGCAUAACUCGAACCAAACGGACCCUAAAAGUAACGUAGCAUCUUAAUUGUUAUUCUUAUUUAAUAUUAGUGACAUAUCAAUAAUUAAUAAAUUAAAUUAAAUUUUUAAAUUUGAUUGCAAUAAAUUAAAAUUUUAAAUUAAAAAUUAUAAUAAAUUGGUGAAGCGCUUGGUCCUUUUUUUUCGCUCUUUAUAUGUAGAGAGAGGGGGAAAAGCGAGGCAGGGGACCGUUGGGGGCUCUCUUCUCUCUCUCCUCUGUGUAUCGUUUUUGAAGAGGAAAUAACACAAACAGGUGAGGGGCGUAGAGAGCGACUCGACCAAAGCGUGCGAAUAGAGAUGGAAUUGGAGAAGAAGAGCGUUGGGAUCCUCGCCAUGGACAUCUACUUCCCUCCUACUUGCGUUCAACAGGUCUAAGAUGAGAUUUUUUUUUUUGUUUUUUGGGUGUUUUUUUCACCAUUUUUGGUCGAUUUUGUUUCCCUUUCUCGGUCCUUUAAAGCUUAAUGCGUGGUCUUAGUGUCGAAGGGGUGGUUUUAGCUCGCAUCUUAGGGGUUUUUUGGGUCUCUUCCAUGGUAAGAUCGUUUAGGGUUUCGUGAUUUGGGGAGUCCAAUGAGAGGUGGGUUUGAUACGAGAGAUGGUGGGUUCUACUCCAGCUUAUUUUGGAAGGGGCUCACUUGCGUCGUGACUCGUGAGUCAUGUUUGUUUCUGGUGCACGGGAUCUCAUGGUGGGGACCUUUUGGGUUUCUCUGAGAUUGUUGUCUCCAUCUCCCCGUUGAUAAGUCUCUUUUUCAGAUACAUUUUUUAUUCCGAGUUUAAUGUGGAUAUAUACGUGUUUUAUCCAUGAUUUAACAAAUAAAAAUGUUACUUUUUUUUUCCCUGAUCAAAGUUAAAAAGAUAAAGGAAAAAAAAAUCUGUUCUUGCAUCGAAGAGUGAUGUAAAGAAGGCAUUUUGCUGCUGUUAUUGUUUUGUGAAGUUCACUUUUGUUGUGAUUCUUUGUGUUAACUUUUGGAGUUAUGUAAAAUCGUGUUCUUGACGCAAAUGGCGGUGGUGGUCGCAGGAAGAGUUGGAGGCUUACGAUGGCGCGAGUAAAGGGAAGUAUACCAUCGGGCUCGGGCAGGAUUGCAUGGCCUUCUGCACAGAGUUGGAAGAUGUGAUCUCCAUGAGGUUGCCCCUGUGCAUAAGAAACUUUACGACAUUACAUCUUUUGAUUCUUUUACUUUUGGAUUAAUUCAUUUAACUGAUAUACACUAUUAUGCCAUCUUCAUUAGUUCUGCAAAAUCUUGUAAUGGUGGUGCAGUUCAACAGAACAUAUAUAUAUAUAUAUAUAUAUAUAUAAGGUCUGGCUACUAUACUAUUAUGAGUACGAUCGCUCUCGUACUCAUAAAUCGUUUUCGAUGAUAGAGCUUCCGAAUCGAUUACCCAUACCGUUAAACGUUAUUUACAGCAUUUAAAACUUCUAGAAAUCAAAUUUUGUAAUUUUUCGACAUCAUUUACCUUACGAUCAAGAGGUCACAAAUUUGACAAUUUUUAAUGGCCGGUAUGGGAUACUUUCUAGUUUAACGGUGUAAAACAAUCGGAAUUUGUUGAAUUUUUUAUAGAAAAUUCUAUUCACUACAUAGAUAAAGAUCAAUAACUCCGAUCUUGAAUUGAAGGAUCCGAUCAUUCUUUUUUAGGAUGUCAUUUGAUUUUGACCGUUCAUUUUAUGCCCGCUUGAUGGACUUUAUUAUAAUUUUGAAAAUUUACGAAAUUUAUUUUCUAGAAGUUUCAAAUACUCUAGAUCAUAUUUAACGGAGACUACGGAGUGGAUCGUCGAUUCAGAAGCUCCAUCAUCGAAAACAGCUUAUGAAUAUGAGGGCUCCAAUACUCAUAAUAGUAUAGUAGCCACGGCCUAUAUAUAUAUAUAUAUAUAUAUAUAUAUAUAUAUAUAUAUAGUGGGCUGGUAUGCUUCUGAAGCACGGAGCCCUCUGUGCUUCCAAGUUGUUUUCGAUGUUCGGACUUUCGAAUCGACGAUUGGCUCCGUUAGAGUUGAUUUAGAGUAUUUGAAGUACCUAGAAAAUAAAUUUUGUGAUUUUUCGAUAUCAUUUGCCUAGUGAUCGAAGGGGCUCAAAAUCAAUAAUUUUAACGGCCGUGGUGAGCCGUUUGCAAGUUUAACAGUGUAGAAAUAUCCAAAUCACAUUAAAUUUUGAUAGAAAAUUCUUUAUACCAUAUAAAACAAAAUCAAUAACUUUGAUCUAAAAUUUUAAUAUCAUAUCAUUAUAUUUUGUAAGAUUUUUAUUUUCAGCCGUUGAUUUUGAGCCACUUCGAUCACUAGGCAAAUGAUAUCGAAAAAUCGCAAAAUUUAUUUUCUAGAUACUUCAAAUACUCUAGAUCAAGUCUAACGGAGCCGAUCGUUGAUUCGAAAGUCCGAACAUCGAAAACAACUUGGAAGCACGGAGCGCUCCGUGCUUCCAGAAGCAUACCAGA